rnacentral:rRNA from 1 species
AUUGAACGCUGGCGGCGUGCUUAACACAUGCAAGUCGAUCGGUAACAGGUGUAGCAAUACAUGCUGACGAGAGGCGGACGGGUGAGUAAUGCUUGGGAAUCUGCCUAUUAGUGGGGGACAACCCGGGGAAACUCGGGCUAAUACCGCAUACGCUCUACGGAGGAAAGCCGGGGACCGCAAGGCCUGGCGCUAAUAGAUGAGCCCAAGUCGGAUUAGCUAGUUGGUAGGGUAACGGCCUACCAAGGCGACAAUCCGUAGCUGGUCUGAGAGGACGACCAGCCACACCCGGAACUGAGACACGGUCCGGACUCCUACGGGAGGCAGCAGUGGGGAAUAUUGGACAAUGGGGGCAACCCUGAUCCAGCGACGCCGCGUGGGUGAAGAAGGCCUGCGGGUUGUAAAGCCCUUUCGGUGGGGAAGAAAAGUCUCGACCUAAUACGUCGGGACCUUGACGUAACCACUAAAGAAGCACCGGCUAACUCUGUGCCAGCCGCCGCAGUAAG